rnacentral:misc_RNA from 1 species
CAGCAAACUAAAAAGACAUGUUGAAUUUUUCAUCAAUGUUAUGAGUAUUAUAUGCAUCGAGAUAAGUGUAUUCUUCCAAAAAGAUAUAAAAGGGAAAAAGUAGAAAUUUAUCUGAGUCCAAAUCAACAAAGAACCUCAAAUCAGAACUUCACAAGGAGUGAAACACCAGACAGAUUUUCAUAUUCUCAAAAGUCUCAACAUUAAAAAUGGAG